ensembl:lncRNA
AUUCAACAUGGAGGCUGCUGGUUGUUGUGGAUUCCUCAAUCCGGAGGAGGAGAUUUAAUCAUCAUUUAAUCAUCAUUCACACACUGCUGGGGAUGAAUACAUGAAGUGAACCGUUGAUUCAGGUCCACAGGAGGAGAUUUAAUUAUUUAAACAUCAUUGACACACUUCUGUGGAUGAAUCCAUGAAGCUGUGGGCUCCUUUCUCCCUGCACUAACCGCCCUGGUGGAGGAGUUUAAUGAGCUAACGGAGCUGACUGACCGUUAACUAACUCUACUGGCUUAUUAACUAACUCUCUGAGGGACCGGAUGGAGCCCCGGCAGGUCAUCGGGCUGUUCGGACAGCUCAGCGGGUUCCCGGCGCCUGUUGGGGCUCAUGUUACCGAGGAGCAGCUGGAGGAGGUCCGGAUCUACCGGCUGGCAGCAGAACAACCACAACAGAGCUACAUCUGUCUACCAAGCUGUAGUCAUUCACACUUUAUGGCUCAGAAAGAUGGACCACAAAUGUUCGGCGUAUCAAGCAGCUAGACUCCUUUCACCAACGGGGCUCGCACAAAAUCCUCCAUGUAUCCUGACAAGACGGUAACGGAGCUAGAUGUCCUAGACUGUAGGGUGCAUCUACGGUGGGAAGGCCACUAAGAAUGGAUGAUGACAGGCUACCC